rnacentral:rRNA from 1 species
GACGAACGCUGGCGGCGUGCCUAAUACAUGCAAGUCGAACGCUUCUUUCCUCCCGAGUGCUUGCACUCAAUUGGAAAGAGGAGUGGCGGACGGGUGAGUAACACGUGGGUAACCUACCCAUCAGAGGGGGAUAACACUUGGAAACAGGUGCUAAUACCGCAUAACAGUUUAUGCCGCAUGGCAUAAGAGUGAAAGGCGCUUUCGGGUGUCGUUGAUGGAUGGACCCGCGGUGCAUUAGCUAGUUGGUGAGGUAACGGCUCACCAAGGCCACGAUGCAUAGCCGACCUGAGAGGGUGAUCGGCCACACUGGGACUGAGACACGGCCCAGACUCCUACGGGAGGCAGCAGUAGGGAAUCUUCGGCAAUGGACGAAAGUCUGACCGAGCAACGCCGCGUGAGUGAAGAAGGUUUUCGGAUCGUAAAACUCUGUUGUUAGAGAGGAACAAGGACGUUAGUAACUGAACGUCCCCUGACGGUAUCUAACCAGAAAGCCACGGCUAACUACGUG